GGUAGCGAGGCGUGGAAGUGGAAAGCAGAGACAGAAGCAGAAAGGCAAAUCUGUGAGAGGUCACAGAACGUGGGCCUUGACCCGACUACUCCUCUCUCCUUUCAGUGCUUCUCUCUCCUCUCGCCUGCUCCGCAAGCCUAGACCUUGCUACUACAAUUGUAAUUAUAUUUACAGGUUCAACCCUUAUAAGAAACAUCAGAGAGAUGGCAUAAGAGGAAAGUAAAGCGCAACCGCGCAGGCCUUUGCCGCGUCGAAGAGCCACAGUGAGGCCGACCGCCGCCGCCGGAGAGUUUCAACGCUUACCUUGCAAUGCUUCGUAGCCUGCUCACGAGCGCCACUAGAUUUGCAUUAAUGGUGUCUGAAAUCUCUAUUUUUGAUCAAUUAGAGAAUAAAAUAUAAUGGAGAGAGAGAGAGAGAGAGAGAGGGCUACAAGGCAGAAGCCAGGAGCCGCCUUGUUGAUAUGAUAAAGAGGGGCAGAAAAACAAAAAGCUUACAAUGAAGUUGGGUCUGCGGCAAAGUAGCUACACUGAGCAGAAAGACAAAACCAGCGAAUUGUUUUGCCAGAUGUUCGCUGGUUAAUUUAGUUGACAAACUUUAAAAAAAUUCUGCAUGAUUGAAUUUUUCACUCAUGAAAUUUAAGUCUGGCAGUCGAACAUAGAAGAAAAAAAAAUUUAGAGACUAGCUAUUUUCUUUCAUUAAAAAAGACGACUGUAACUAAGAAAUUGCUAUAGAAGUCAUUAUGGUAUUUUUGCAUUAACAUUUACAUUAAAAAAAAAAAAAA